AUACGUAGGGUGCGAGCGUUGUCCGGAAUUACUGGGCGUAAAGAGCUCGUAGGUGGUUUGUCGCGUCGUCUGUGAAAUUCCGGGGCUUAACUCCGGGCGUGCAGGCGAUACGGGCAUAACUUGAGUACUGUAGGGGAGACUGGAAUUCCUGGUGUAGCGGGGAAAUGCGCAGAUAUCAGGAGGAACACCGGUGGCGAAGGCGGGUCUCUGGGCAGUAACUGACGCUGAGGAGCGAAAGCAUGGGUAGCGAACAGGAUUAGAUACCCUGGUAGUCCAUGCCGUAAACGGUGGGCGCUAGGUGUAGGGGUCUUCCACGACUUCUGUGCCGUAGCUAACGCAUUAAGCGCCCCGCCUGGGGAGUACGGCCGCAAGGCUAAAACUCAAAUGAAUUGACGGGG
rnacentral:rRNA from 1 species